GGGCCCGCACAAGCAGCGGAGCAUGUGGUUUAAUUCGAAGCAACGCGAAGAACCUUACCAGGCCUUGACAUCCUGCGAAGGCAGGGGAGACCCUGCCGGCCCUCCGGGGACGCAGAGACAGGUGGUGCAUGGUUGUCGUCAGCUCGUGUCGUGAGAUGUUGGGUUAAGUCCCGCAACGAGCGCAACCCUUGUGUUCAGUUGCCAUCAUUAGGUUGGGCACUCUGGACAGACUGCCCGUGAAAGCGGGAGGAAGGUGGGGACGAGGUCAAAUCAUCAUGCCCCUUACGGCCUGGGCUACACACGUGCUACAAUGGGGUGGACAAAGGGUAGCCAAGCAGCGAUGCGGAGCCAAUCUCAAAACCAUCCCCCAGUUCGGAUUGCAGGCUGCAACCCGCCUGCAUGAAGCCGGAGUUGCUAGUAAUCGCGGAUCAGCAUGCCG
rnacentral:rRNA from 1 species